rnacentral:tRNA from 2 species
GCCGAGAUAGCUCAGCGGUAGAGCAAUCGUUUUGUAAACGAUAGGUCGUGGGUUCGAAUCCCACUCUCGGCUCAA